rnacentral:lncRNA from 1 species
GUGGUUCUUAGUAAGGUUACUUUCAUUUAUCAUGUUUAUAGAGGACACAUUUUUACAACAACAAUCAAAACAAUCAUUUUGACAAACAUCACACACAAUUGUAAUAAGUAUUUCAAAAGUAUUUUUUAUACAUAUGUUAUCUGAUUGAUCUGAUUGACAUUCUUUGCUAAUUUUUCAUGCAGAGAGGUUAUACCAACAGUUAAUCUCUUUAUGUCCAAGACGAAAACAAAAGUUACAUUUGAUCCUUUGAUCAUGUUUGCAGUUUAACAGAGUGUGAUAAUUUGAUCCACAGUUGUAACAGUAGGAGUCCCAUGUAUUUCUGUAAGGCUUCACUGACGAAUUGACAUUUCUUAUAGGUAUUACUUCGUUAAUUUCAUCAAUUAGUUUCGUGGUUCCCGAAUUUGUUAGAUGAACACCAUCUGUGUGUAUCAAGCCUGGCA